ACUAUAUGUUUUUAUAAAUAUGUUGACUUAUAGCAUUAAAAAGAUAAUCAUUAUAAUGAUUAUAAAUAAUGUUCAUAAUUCGACGAGUUUAGAUCAUAUGGAAAACACGCGAUAUUGACAGAAUAUUAUUACUUCGUUUAGUGUUCAAAAAUCAAUUUAUCAGAAAUGUUACAAAUGUCUAGAUUAGAAGUUAACGUUAGGCGACUUUUAACACGUUGCGAAUUAAUGGCAAAAGAUAAUCCUCAGAAGGAUUGGAAACUUGAAAAGUACAUACUUGCUCUGGACGAAAUGAUUAAAAAGUUGCAAGCUUUACCAGACAAACCUUCCAAAGAUGUUUUAACAGGAUAUGCAAAGAGACUUGAUUUUUUAAAAGGAAUUGUAAACACAGCAAAAUUAAAUAAUCCAGAUGAAAGAGUAGCUGCUGUACAAAUGUUAUCUAAAACAUCAAACGUAAAUGACACUCUUGGUCCAAAUAUAGCGACACAAAUACAUCAGAAAACUACAGCAAGAUAUAAUCAAGAAUUACGUGCAGAACUAUUUCAUACUGAAAAGGGAUCUUUAGAGGAUGGAAUUCGACAUAGAUUUCCUAGCGCAAGUAUACAGGAUGAAGAUUUAGACGCGCUCGUGAAAUAUAAUCGAAAUAUUCAAGAAAAGAUAGCAGAAAAUAUGCUCUCCAUGACUAGCAGCAUGAAAGAACAUGCUUUAGCAGCUAGUGCUAUUAUAAAAAGAGAUAUCAGUACCUUGGAAAAGUCUGAAAAAUUAACAAAUACUAAUACUGGAAAAUUGAAAACAGAAUCUUUAAAAUUGGAUGAACAUACAAAAUCCAAUUGGAGGUGUUGGGUUUGGUUAAUGAUUGCAUUUGUACUUGUGGUAUUUUUUAAUAUGGUACUAUUUAUGAAAAUAGCAAAAAAGAAAAUUUAAAUGUAUUUUAAUAAUAAUAAUAAUUUUAUAAAGGAUACGUGUUAUGUAUUUAAAAUGUAUGCACAAGAUAGUGCAUCAAUGUGAAUUGCUGUGAAUAUAGCUGUAUAUGUCAUUUAGUGGAUUAUGAUGGUAAGAGUGCUUCAUGAUGAAUAUGCCUGUGAAAACACCUGUUCCACCCAAAACUAGCUGGAAACCUGGUAAAUACUUAUUAAAAACAUCGUUCGUGAAAUUAUAUAUAAUGACAAUUUAUAAAUUUAAUAUUUAAAAUUGUGAAGGUAGGGUAAAAGUAGUCAGAGCAUUAUACAAAUAUACAGCGCAACAAGCAGAUGAAUUAUCUUUCGAUGAAGGAGAUAUACUUUAUGUUUAUGAAAAAGACGUAGACAGUAAUUGGUGGAAAGCUAAAUGUGGAAGUCGUG